rnacentral:rRNA from 1 species
AAAGGGGGAACCCGGCCUAAACAUGCUCGUCGAGCGGCAGCGGAAGUAGGUUUGCUACUUUGCCGGCGAGCGGCGGACGGGUGAGUAGUGUCUGGGAAACUGCCUGAUGGAGGGGGAUAACUACUGGAAACGGUAUCUAAUACCGCAUAACGUCGCAAGACCAAAGAGGGGGACCUUCGGCCCUCUUGCCAUCAUAUGUGCCCAGAUGGGAUUAUCUAGUAGGGGGGGUAGUGUCUCACCUAGGCCACUAUCCCUAUGUGGUCUGAGAGGAUGACCACCCACUCUGGAUCUGACACACGGCCCACACUCCUACGGGAGGCAGCAGGGGGGAAUUUUGCACAGUGGGCGCAACCCUGAUGCACCCAUGCCGCGUGUAUGAAAAAGGCCUUCGGGUUGUAAAGUACUUUCAGCGAAGAAGAAGGUUUUAAGGUUAAUACCCUUGGUGAUUGACGUUACUCACAAAAAAAACACCGGCUAUCUCCGUGCCAGCACCCGCGGUAAUACGGAGGGUGCAAGCGUUUAUCGGAAUUACUGGGCGUAAAGCGCACGCAGGCGGUCUGUCAAGUCGGAUGAGAUAUCCCCGGUCUCAACCUGGGAUCUGCAUUCGAAACUGGCAGGCUAGAGUCUUGUAGAGGGGGGUAGAAUUCCAUGUGUAGCGGAGAUAUGCAUAGAUAUCUGGAAGAAUACCGGGGGAGAGCGCGGCCCCCUGGACAAACACUGACUCUCAUGUGCGAAAGCGUGGGGAGCAAACAAGAUUAUAUACCCUGAUACUCCACGCCGUAAAAGAUGUCCACUUGGGGGGUGUUCUCUUGAAGAGUGUCCUCCGGAUCUCACGUGAUAACUACACCGCCUGGGAGAGCACGGCCGCAAGGAUAAAACUCAUAUGUAUUUGACGGGGCCCCGCACAAGCGGGGGGAGUAUGUGGUUUUAUUUCUAUCGCAGCGAAAAACCUUUACCUACUCUUUGAUCUCCAGAGAUCUUUACAGAUGUGGUUUGGGUGCUUCGAAACUGAGAACGGGUGCUGCUUGGUUGUCCUCACUCGUGUUGGAAGUGUGGGGAUAGCCCGAAAGACGACACCUUAUAUCCUUGUUGUGCAGCGUGCCGCGCGGAACUCAGGAGAGCUCUGCGCAGUGUAUAUACCUGGAAGACGGUGGGAUAGACUCUCUACUGUGGCCUUAGCAAGUGGGCUUAACCGGUGCUCCACUGGUCCAUCAAGAACGGACCCUGCGAAUGCAGGCGGACUCUCUGAUAUCG